CCUACGGGAGGCAGCAGUGGGGAAUCUUGCGCAAUGGGCGAAAGCCUGACGCAGCCAUGCCGCGUGAAUGAUGAAGGUCUUAGGAUUGUAAAAUUCUUUCACCGGGGACGAUAAUGACGGUACCCGGAGAAGAAGCCCCGGCUAACUUCGUGCCAGCAGCCGCGGUAAUACGAAGGGGGCUAGCGUUGCUCGGAAUUACUGGGCGUAAAGGGAGCGUAGGCGGAUAGUUUAGUCAGAGGUGAAAGCCCAGGGCUCAACCUUGGAAUUGCCUUUGAUACUGGCUAUCUUGAGUAUGGGAGAGGUAUGCGGAACUCCGAGUGUAGAGGUGAAAUUCGUAGAUAUUCGGAAGAACACCAGUGGCGAAGGCGGCAUACUGGCCCAUUACUGACGCUGAGGCUCGAAAGCGUGGGGAGCAAACAGGAUUAGAUACCCUGGUAGUCCACGCUGUAAACGAUGAGUGCUAGUUGUCGGCAUGNAUGCAUGUCGGUGACGCAGCGUACGACAUAAGACACUCCGCCGUCGGGUAGGUACGGUCGACGAGAAGUUAAACGUAACGAAGUAGUAAGUUAGUACGGCGUGAGACGUACGACCGACGGACGACGACGAGGGAGGAGG
rnacentral:rRNA from 1 species